AUGUAGUGCUGUGUAGACUGAGCCUCCCGAGUGACUGCUUCGAGUGGAAUCCUCAACAUUUGCCUCAGAGUAUUAUGAAUUUUCUGAACUCAGAGAUAAAGAGAAAGUUCUUGGAUUUACUCUCUUUAUAUUGCAUGAUGUCGUAUUUGGAAGUGAUUUGUUCCAGCCUCGUAGAACAGUCCUGAAGUAUUGGCUGAGCAUCACAGCGACUGAGUGCUCAGGGUGCAAGGGUCAUGAAGAACUGUGUACAUGGUGAGAACUGGAGACUUCUUUCACGGAGCUUGAUUGGAAAAGUUAAAAAAUGAGCAAUGAAUAAAGGAGAUCUAAGGACUUUUUAAAAAGGUGGG
rnacentral:lncRNA from 1 species